rnacentral:rRNA from 1 species
AGAGUUUGAUCCUGGCUCAGGAUGAACGCUAGCUACAGGCUUAACACAUGCAAGUCGAGGGGAAACGACAUCGAAAGCUUGCUUUUGAUGGGCGUCGACCGGCGCACGGGUGAGUAACGCGUAUCCAACCUGCCCACCACUUGGGGAUAACCUUGCGAAAGUAAGACUAAUACCCAAUGACGUCUCUAGAAGACAUCUGAAGGAGAUUAAAGAUUUAUCGGUGAUGGGAUGGGGACNCGUCUGAUUAGCUUGUUGGCGGGGUAACGGCCACCAGGCGACGAUCAGUAGGGUUCUGAGAGGAAGGUCCCCCACAUUGGAACUGAGACACGGUCCAAACUCCUACGGGAGGCA